UUAAGUUAUUAAGGGCGCACGGUGGAUGCCUUGGCACUAGAAGCCGAUGAAGGACGUUACUAACGACGAUAUGCUUUGGGGAGCUGUAAGUAAGCUUUGAUCCAGAGAUUUCCGAAUGGGGAAACCCAGCAUGAGUUAUGUCAUGUUAUCGAUAUGUGAAUACAUAGCAUAUCAGAAGGCACACCCGGAGAACUGAAACAUCUUAGUACCCGGAGGAAGAGAAAGAAAAUUCGAUUCCCUUAGUAGCGGCGAGCGAAACGGGAAGAGCCCAAACCAACAAGCUUGCUUGUUGGGGUUGUAGGACACUCUAUACGGAGUUACAAAGGACGACAUUAGACGAAUCAUCUGGAAAGAUGAAUCAAAGAAGGUAAUAAUCCUGUAGUCGAAAAUGUUGUCUCUCUUGAGUGGAUCCUGAGUACGACGGAGCACGUGAAAUUCCGUCGGAAUCUGGGAGGACCAUCUCCUAAGGCUAAAUACUCUCUAGUGACCGAUAGUGAACCAGUACCGUGAGGGAAAGGUGAAAAGCACCCCGGAAGGAGAGUGAAAUAGAACCUGAAACCGUGUGCUUACAAGUAGUCAGAGCCCGUUAAUGGGUGAUGGCGUGCCUUUUGUAGAAUGAACCGGCGAGUUACGAUUUGAUGCAAGGUUAAGCAGUAAAUGUGGAGCCGUAGCGAAAGCGAGUCUGAAUAGGGCGUUUAGUAUUUGGUCGUAGACCCGAAACCAGGUGAUCUACCCUUGGUCAGGUUGAAGUUCAGGUAACACUGAAUGGAGGACCGAACCGACUUACGUUGAAAAGUGAGCGGAUGAACUGAGGGUAGCGGAGAAAUUCCAAUCGAACCUGGAGAUAGCUGGUUCUCUCCGAAAUAGCUUUAGGGCUAGCCUCAAGUGAUGAUUAUUGGAGGUAGAGCACUGUUUGGACGAGGGGCCCCUCUCGGGUUACCGAAUUCAGACAAACUCCGAAUGCCAAUUAAUUUAACUUGGGAGUCAGAACAUGGGUGAUAAGGUCCGUGUUCGAAAGGGAAACAGCCCAGACCACCAGCUAAGGUCCCAAAAUAUAUGUUAAGUGGAAAAGGAUGUGGCGUUGCCCAGACAACUAGGAUGUUGGCUUAGAAGCAGCCAUCAUUUAAAGAGUGCGUAAUAGCUCACUAGUCGAGUGACACUGCGCCGAAAAUGUACCGGGGCUAAACAUAUUACCGAAGCUGUGGAUUGUCCUUUGGACAAUGGUAGGAGAGCGUUCUAAGGGCGUUGAAGCAUGAUCGUAAGGACAUGUGGAGCGCUUAGAAGUGAGAAUGCCGGUGUGAGUAGCGAAAGACGGGUGAGAAUCCCGUCCACCGAUUGACUAAGGUUUCCAGAGGAAGGCUCGUCCGCUCUGGGUUAGUCGGGUCCUAAGCUGAGGCCGACAGGCGUAGGCGAUGGAUAACAGGUUGAUAUUCCUGUACCACCUAUAAUCGUUUUAAUCGAUGGGGGGACGCAGUAGGAUAGGCGAAGCGUGCGAUUGGAUUGCACGUCUAAGCAGUAAGGCUGAGUAUUAGGCAAAUCCGGUACUCGUUAAGGCUGAGCUGUGAUGGGGAGAAGACAUUGUGUCUUCGAGUCGUUGAUUUCACACUGCCGAGAAAAGCCUCUAGAUAGAAAAUAGGUGCCCGUACCGCAAACCGACACAGGUAGUCAAGAUGAGAAUUCUAAGGUGAGCGAGCGAACUCUCGUUAAGGAACUCGGCAAAAUGACCCCGUAACUUCGGGAGAAGGGGUGCUCUUUAGGGUUAACGCCCAGAAGAGCCGCAGUGAAUAGGCCCAAGCGACUGUUUAUCAAAAACACAGGUCUCUGCUAAACCGUAAGGUGAUGUAUAGGGGCUGACGCCUGCCCGGUGCUGGAAGGUUAAGAGGAGUGGUUAGCUUCUGCGAAGCUACGAAUCGAAGCCCCAGUAAACGGCGGCCGUAACUAUAACGGUCCUAAGGUAGCGAAAUUCCUUGUCGGGUAAGUUCCGACCCGCACGAAAGGCGUAACGAUUUGGGCACUGUCUCAACGAGAGACUCGGUGAAAUCAUAGUACCUGUGAAGAUGCAGGUUACCCGCGACAGGACGGAAAGACCCCGUGGAGCUUUACUGUAGCCUGAUAUUGAAAUUCGGCACAGCUUGUACAGGAUAGGUAGGAGCCUUUGAAACGUGAGCGCUAGCUUACGUGGAGGCGCUGGUGGGAUACUACCCUAGCUGUGUUGGCUUUCUAACCCGCACCACUUAUCGUGGUGGGAGACAGUGUCAAGCGGGCAGUUUGACUGGGGCGGUCGCCUCCUAAAAGGUAACGGAGGCGCUCAAAGGUUCCCUCAGAAUGGUUGGAAAUCAUUCAUAGAGUGCAAAGGCAUAAGGGAGCUUGACUGCGAGACCUACAAGUCGAGCAGGGUCGAAAGACGGACUUAGUGAUCCGGUGGUUCCGCAUGGAAGGGCCAUCGCUCAACGGAUAAAAGCUACCCCGGGGAUAACAGGCUUAUCUCCCCCAAGAGUUCACAUCGACGGGGAGGUUUGGCACCUCGAUGUCGGCUCAUCGCAUCCUGGGGCUGUAGUCGGUCCCAAGGGUUGGGCUGUUCGCCCAUUAAAGCGGUACGCGAGCUGGGUUCAGAACGUCGUGAGACAGUUCGGUCCCUAUCCGUCGUGGGCGUAGGAAAUUUGAGAGGAGCUGUCCUUAGUACGAGAGGACCGGGAUGGACAUACCUCUGGUGUACCAGUUGUCGUGCCAACGGCAUAGCUGGGUAGCUAUGUGUGGACGGGAUAAGUGCUGAAAGCAUCUAAGCAUGAAGCCCCCCUCAAGAUGAGAUUUCCCAACUUCGGUUAUAAGAUCCCUCAAAGAUGAUGAGGUUAAUAGGUUCGAGGUGGAAGCAUGGUGACAUGUGGAGCUGACGAAUACUAAUCGAUCGAAGACUUAAUCAA
rnacentral:rRNA from 1 species